GUGUGUGUGUGUGUUUGUGCGUGUGUGUGCGUGUGUGUGUGUGUGUGUGUGUGUCGCCGCCAUGUUGAUGUGGCGCCGCCAUUUUGUGUCUUUCACGUACACACAGGCGACGUCCAUCAUCGCCCGGCUCGCCAUCUCGCUGUCAUCUGGACCGUAGUGUGGCGUAUUGGCUGCCGGGCGCAUGCAUCAUAGGCGUCGCAUCUCCGAUAAAGGGGAAGGCUAAUAAAUGGCUGUUAUAAAUUCAGGACUCCAUGAAAGCAGUGUGCAUGUGUGUGUGCGUGCGUGCAUGUGUGUGAUGAGCUUCAUCACAUGGACACAGUUGAGCGAGCGCGUACAAAAGCGAGCUGAUGGAGCGGCCUUCUGCUGACAAUCAAGAGAAGUAGGUCACCUCUGAGGCGGCGUCCCACAGGGUCCCACACCAGGUCAUCUUACGUCACGCCACGCCCUCUGCUUGACGCUGCGUCUAUUUGUACGCCACGCCCGUGUGUGCAUGCAGGGGGUUUUCGGUUUACGAUGCUACCCGCACACGAGGUUAGGAACAGUGCGUGCUGAAGUACGUCAUUUUUAAUUUGAUGGUUUUGUAGUUACGUCUAAUAUAAAAUAAUUGCUUUAUUCAGUGUUUAAUAGCAAAAACAAAAAUGCUAAGCUGCCAUCAAUAAACCUCCCUAGUUUUUUUCGUGUUUGACUGUUUUAUAUCUAUGGCCUUCCAUGUUUUUUAAUACACAUUUACUGUCACCAUGAUUGUCAGGCUAGGUUCGUGAAAGAAAAAUUCAACAUUUCCAUUAAGGUGAGGUUUCCCAGUCCAAUAACGUUUCAUGUUUGUGCCUAGUCAUUUACUCUAAUUAGAGUUUUACAAAUUGAGUUACAUUGCAGCCAUAAGAAUGCAACACCGACGUAAAUCGAGAACCCCUUUAAGGAUGUGUGUGUGCGCGCCAUUUUAAAAACCUUCCAAAUGUAUAUUUAUGACCUUGUUUGUUUUAAAUACAAAAAAAUGGAAUUAGGUUCUUUUUUUUUCUAGUCAAUAAAUGUGAAUCUUAUGUGAUGGUCGUAUGAUGUAUUUUUCAAUAUGGCUUAAUGGCAAUGCACACAGAGAGAUGGAAUCAGCACAGAAGAGGAUUCAUCAAGCGUAUCUGCACGUCACACAGUUGCAUGUGAAGUGCGGCGCCUUUCUAAUCAAUACACAGAUUAAGUGUGUGUGUGUGCGCGCGCGCGCGCUCGUUUCUUGAUGAAUCACUGAUGUGGCUCAUGGACAAACUACAUUUUCUCCUAAAUGCCUCAUCAACUUUGAUUAUAGAAGCUCUCGCCACGUCCAAAAGGCCUUGUGACGCAACCACAUGGAUGAAUCACAGUGAAGCUAGGCCAAAUUGUGUUUAAAAAAAGAAAAAUGCGAUGACUAAGCCAGAUGACAAAAACAUAUUACAUCAUUAUGGUCUGAAUGGAUUGAAAAUAAUUUUGCUACAUGCAGUUAAAUCAAGUUUGGUGCAAGCACAGGACUGCUUGUGACCAGAAGAAUACCUACCAUCCCUAAAUUGAAACAUAAUGGUUGCAUAAGCAGUAGUGGAGAUAUGACUCAAUGACUGACGCUCCAUUUAACUGUAGUAGCUGCUUUUGAUUCAUCCUCAUCCAUUCAUUUUAUUCGUGACUAUUAUUAGUCAAGCAAGGUGCACCCUUCACCAUGCAGCCAUGCUUGCAGACUCAACCCCCCCCCCCCCCCCCCCCCCCCAUAUCUAAAUGACUGUAAUCUGGGGAUGAAUAGCAAUCAGCAGCCUUGUAUGAGCCACUGGCACUCGGCCUGACCAUCUUCCCCUAUCGCCCCCUUCAACCUUCCAUCCACAAUCAACCCACUGGCGCCUAUUCACAAGUAGCCAUGACACGCACACAUGCAGCAGGAAGCACUCGUCUCCAUCUUUUAUCAGUUGUGUGAUGAUGAAAUGUUCAUUGUUAAAUAAUUGCGUCAUUUUGGGAUCUCCUAAAAAUUGACAAUUUUGGAGGUAUAAUAGGGAUUUUAUACGUUUACAUUUUAUACAUACUAUACAUGGUCAUUAAUAAAUACAAUUUAAAAA